rnacentral:rRNA from 1 species
AGAUUGAACGCUGGCGGCAUGCCUUACACAUGCAAGUCGAACGGUAGAGUAGCAAUACUUGAGAGUGGCGAACGGGUGAGUAAUAUAUCGGAACGUGCCCAGUCGUGGGGGAUAACGUAGAGAAAUUUACGCUAAUACCGCAUACGAUCUAAGGAUGAAAGCGGGGGACUCGCAAGAGCCUCGCGCGAUUGGAGCGGCUGAUAUCAGAUUAGGUUGUUGGUGAGGUAAAAGCUCACCAAGCCGACGAUCUGUAGCUGGUUUGAGAGAACGACCAGCCACACUGGGACUGAGACACGGCCCAGACUCCUACGGGAGCAGCAGUGGGAAUUUUGGACAAUGGGACGAAAGCCUGAUCCAGCAAUGCCGCGUGCGAAGGAAGAAGGCCUUCGGGUUAGUAAACUGUCUUUUGUACGGAACGUAACGGUCUGUACUUUAAUACGAGUGGCUAAGUGACGGUAACCGUAAGAAGUAA